rnacentral:lncRNA from 1 species
UGGCCAUGCUCUGCGUUUUUCAACAUGUCGGGGAUAAAGUGCACAAGUGUUUCCUUGAAAGAUCACUAAAACUAAUGAAAAGGGAAAAUAUGAUCUCAAAGGAUCAUGGCAACAUAAAGUCGAAUUAAAAGCUCAAAAAGGUAAUGUUUGAGAACAUGCAUGUUCGAGGGACAUUAUAAGGAUAGAACUACAAAGGAUCUCAAAUGAUCCAAGACUCACGAAAGGAUAUUAUUCCCCCAGAGAGUUGGGUUACAGAAAUGAAGAAAUUGACUUAGGCUUUGGUUUGAAGAAACUAAUCGAUAGCCGUUCAAUAACAAGCACAACAAUAAAUUGCAACUGUAAAUCAACUGUCAAAAAAAACUUCGUCUAAACUAUGUGUCGUCCAAGGUUGAAAACCAUACAAGAGUAGUAAGGAAAUUUGAGGAAACUAUUAAAGGAGACAAACUAAUACCACAUUAACCAAUAAUAGGCCAACAAAUGUUUUUAAAUUCCAGUUCACAAAAAAAUAAAGAAAGUUUAAAAGUCAAAAUAGUGUAUGAAGUUAAUUAACAAAACAAAUAUUAAAGUUAACUUGAAGUAAAAAAAAAAUAAUCGCCUAAAUCACUAAAAACGUGAACGGAAAUAAAAAUCAAAAAGGCUAUAUCGAACUAGAAAUAAUUGCUAUUCUCAAUUUGUGAUAUUAGUACAAAAUUGUAGAAUUUUUUUACUGGAAACAAAAAAUAAUAUGAAAAUAAUGUUUUCGAUCAUAUUAUUGGACUGAAAGUAUAUGCAAAAUUCCCCCAAUUGGUAUAUAAAAUUUUAUUUUUAAUAAAAGUGUAAUAAGCUCAAAGGAUCCCAAAAAGCUCAAAAAGGUAAUGUUUGAGAGCGUGCAUGUUCCAUGGACAUUAUAAGGAUAGAACUACAAAGGAUCCCAAAUGAUCCAAGACUCAUGAAAGGAUAUUAUUCCCCCAGAGAGUUGAGUUACAGAAAUGAAGAAAUUGACUUAGGCUUUGGUUUGAAGAAAUUAAUCGAUAGCCGUUCAAUAACAAACACAACAAUAAAUUGCAACUGUAAAUCAACUGUCAAAAAAAAAACUUUGUCUGAACUAUGUGUUGUCCAAGGUUGAAAACCAUACAAGAAUAGUAAGAAAAUUUGAGGAAACUAUUAAAAGAGACAAACUAAUACCACAUUAACCAAUAAUAGGCCAACAAAUGUUCUUAAAUUCCAGUUCACAAAAAAAUAAAGAAAGUUUAAAAGUCAAAAUAGUGUAUGAAGUUAAUUAACAAAACAAAUAUUAAAGUUAACUUAAAGAAAAAAAACAAAUCGCCUAAAUCACUAAAAAAGUGAACGGAAA